GCCUGAGUGGCUCAGUCAGUUGAGCUUCUGACUUCGGCUCAGGUCGUGAUCUCAGCUCAUGAGUUCGAUCCCCAUAUUGGGUU
rnacentral:tRNA from 1 species